rnacentral:tRNA from 1 species
UGGCUAGUAGCUCAAUGGAUAGAGCGUCUCUCUCCUAAAGAGUAAGGUGCGGGUUCGACUCCUGCCUAGCCAA